rnacentral:rRNA from 1 species
UACGGAAGGCAGCAGUGGGAAUAUUGCACAAUGGGCGCAAGCCUGAUGCAGCCAUGCCGCGUGUAUGAAGAAGGCCUUCGGGUUGUAAAGUACUUUCAGUCGUGAGGAAGGUGUUAAGGUUAAUAACCUUAGCAAUUGACGUUAGCGACAGAAGAAGCACCGGCUAACUCCGUGCCAGCAGCCGCGGUAAUACGGAGAGGGCUAGCGUUAUUCGGAAUUAUUGGGCGUAAAGAGCGCGUAGGCUGAUUAGUAAGUUAAAGUGAAAUCCCAAAGCUUAACUUUGGAAUUGCUUUUUAAACUGCUAGUCUAGAGAUUGAAAGAGGAUAGAGGAAUUCCUAGUGUAGAGGUGAAAUUCGUAAAUAUUAGGAGGAACACCAGUGGCGAAGGCGUCUAUCUGGUUCAAAUCUGACGCUGAGGCGCGAA